rnacentral:snRNA from 1 species
UAGUGUUACAGCUCUUUUAGAAUUUGUCUAGCAGGCUUUCCAGUGCAAACCGGAAAAAA